CAGUAGCCACGGUAAUACGGAGGGUGCAAGCGUUAAUCGGAAUUACUGGGCGUAAAGCGUGCGUAGGCGGUUCGUUAAGUCUGAUGUGAAAGCCCCCGGCUCAACCGGGGAGGGUCAUUGGAAACUGGGAAACUUGAGUGCAGAAGAGGAGAGUGGAAUUCCACGUGUAGCGGUGAAAUGCGUAGAGAUGUGGAGGAACACCAGUGGCGAAGGCGACUCUCUGGUCUGUAACUGACGCUGAGGAGCGAAAGCGUGGGGAGCGAACAGGAUUAGAUACCCCGGUAGUCCCUGUCUCUUAUAC
rnacentral:rRNA from 1 species